GGACUCUAUUGAGGCCCCGUAAUCGGAAUGAGUACACUUUAAAUCCUUUAACAAGGAUCCAUUGGAGGGCAAGUCUGGUGCCAGCAGCCGCGGUAAUUCCAGCUCCAAUAGCGUAUAUUAAAGUUGUUGCGGUUAAAAAGCUCGUAGUUGGUUCUGCGUGCCGCGCUGUCGGUUCGCCGCCUGUCGGUGUAACUGGCAUGUCGCGGCAUGUCCUGUCGGUGGUGAGCGGGAUUCCCGGUACUACCUAGGCUUUUAUAGCCGAAGUUUGAACCGUGUGAAGUCCGUUUACCGAUCUCUCCUACUCCGGUGCUCUUAAACGAGUGUCGAGGUAGGCCGACACGUUCACUUUGAACAAAUUAGAGUGCUUAAAGCAGGCUGAAAUAUCUGCCUGAAUAGUGGUGCAUGGAAUGAUAAAAUAGGACCUCGGUUCUAUUUUGUUGGUUUUAGGAAUGUGAGGUAAUGAUCAAUGUGGACUGGCGGGGGCAUUCGUAUUGCGACGUUAGAGGUGAAAUUCUUGGAUCGUCGCAAGACGCACUAAAGCGAAAGCAUUUGCCAAGUAUGUCUUAAUUGAUCAAGAACGAAAGUUAGAGGUUCGAAGGCGAUCAGAUACCGCCCUAGUUCUAACCAUAAACGAUGCCAGCCAGCGAUCCGCCGAUGUUCCAUUAAUGACUCGGCGGGGAGCUUCUACCCGGGAAACCAAAGCUUUUGGGUUCCGGGGGAAGUAUGGUUGCAAAGCUGAAACUUAAAGGAAUUGACGGAAG
rnacentral:rRNA from 1 species